AGUGAACGCUGGCGGUAGGCCUAACACAUGCAAGUCGAACGGCAGCACAGUAAGAGCUUGCUCUUACGGGUGGCGAGUGGCGGACGGGUGAGGAAUACAUCGGAAUCUACUUUUUCGUGGGGGAUAACGUAGGGAAACUUACGCUAAUACCGCAUACGACCUACGGGUGAAAGCAGGGGAUCUUCGGACCUUGCGCGAUUGAAUGAGCCGAUGUCGGAUUAGCUAGUUGGCGGGGUAAAGGCCCACCAAGGCGACGAUCCGUAGCUGGUCUGAGAGGAUGACCAGCCAACCUGGAACUGGGACCCGGUCCAGACCCCCAGGGGGGGCAGCGGGGGGAAAUUUUGGACAAGGGGCGCAAGCCUGACCCAGCCAUACCGGGGGGGUGAAGAAGGCCUUCGGUUUGUAAAGCCCUUUUGUUGGGAAAAAAAAGCAGCAGGUUAAAACCCCGCUGUUCUGACGGUACCCAAAAAAUAAGCACCGGCUAACUUCGU
rnacentral:rRNA from 1 species